rnacentral:tRNA from 1 species
UUAAUUGAAACCAAAUAGAGGUAUCUUAUUGUUAAUAAGAAUAUUGAUAAUAUCCAAUUAAA